ACUUGAAAUCGUGCAUUUGUGUAUUCUUUUGUGUUUUACAAUCAUAUAAUAUUAGAUGCUUUAUAAUUAUGUUCCUACACAAUAGCCUUUACGACACUUCAUUCUUUUAGAUAGUUUGCUAAUUGUGUCAUGUGGACAAUCACGAUCUCGAACACAUGGAAUGGAACCUAUAUAUAAUGUAAAAAGAGAAAUAAACAAUGUUAAUAAAAUGAGAUAAAAUAUUAUUGUGUAAGAAAUAAAGAUGGAAAUUCGAAAAGAGGAUAAAACUGAUUUACCAAGAAUCUGACUUUGCGUUGAAACAAGAAAUAGAGAAAGAAUGAUUAUCAUAACAUUAACAAACUUGGAAAUUUUAUCCAUAUUUUCCAACUUUUGUAUUUGCUACAUAGAAUUUAAGUUUAUCACCUUUUGAUUUAUAAACUCAUUCCUUUAAUCAAUUAAAUAGUUUUUAGUACUUGCAUAGCUAUGUAAAAAGACUUCCUAUUUCUGUU
rnacentral:lncRNA from 1 species